rnacentral:lncRNA from 1 species
AAAAGGUGCCCCGGGAACAGGACUCCCUUUGCAGGGCCCCGAGGAUUGAUGAGAAUCCCCCAUCCCCAACCACCCAGAGGAUAAGCAGGUGUGGAAAUGAUGGCUUAGCAAGAUUAUAUGACUGGCCCAGGCAUCCAGAUAACCACCAGCACUCCCCGAGGCCAUUGCCACUUCAAGCCAGCUGUUAGAAUGUGUGCUAACCCUGUCCCCACUCAUUCCUUCCAGCACCUUGUUCCGGUCAGUGGUGGCAUUCUAACUCCACUUUCCAAUAAAGAAACUACCCAGAGAAGGUGGUCAUACACC